rnacentral:rRNA from 1 species
ACGUAGGGGGCGAGCGUUAUUCGGAAUUACUGGGUGUAAAGGGUAUGUAGGCGGAUCUUCAAGUCGCGUGUCAAAGUCCAGUGCUCAACGCUGGGUGUGAGCGCGAUACUGACGAGCUUGAGGCCUGGAGAGGUGAGCGGAAUUCCCGGUGUAGUGGUAAAAUACGUAGAGAUCAGGAGGAGCACCAACGGCGCAGGCGGCUCACUAGACAAUUUCUGACGCUAAGAUACGAAAGCGUGGGGAACAAACAG